UCCUACGGGGGGCAGCAGUGAGGAAUAUUGGUCAAUGGACGAGAGUCUGAACCAGCCAAGUAGCGUGAAGGAUGACUGCCCUAUGGGUUGUAAACUUCUUUUAUAAAGGAAUAAAACGAGGCACGUGUGCCUUUUUGCAUGUACUUUAUGAAUAAGGAUCGGCUAACUCCGUGCCAGCAGCCGCGGUAAUACGGAGGAUGCGAGCGUUAUCCGGAUUUAUUGGGUUUAAAGGGUGCGUAGGCGGAUUUUUAAGUCAGCGGUAAAAUGUCCGGGCUCAACCCGGGCCGGCCGUUGAAACUGGGGAU
rnacentral:rRNA from 1 species